AGUUUUGCGCAGUGGCAGUGUCGUACCAAUGAGGUUUAUCCGAGAAGCGAUUACUUGCUAAUUAAAAACUUUUCCCAAUACCCUGCCGUGACGACUUGAAAAAUGCUUUCCAACGU
ensembl:snRNA U4 U4 spliceosomal RNA